rnacentral:lncRNA from 1 species
GCACUUCCCAAGUGAGGCAAUGCCUCGCCCUGCUUCGGCUCGCGCACGGUGCGCGCACCCACUGACCUGUGCCCACUGUCUGGCACUUCCUAGUGAGAUGAACCCGGUACCUCAGAUUGAAAUGCAGAAAUCACCCGUCUUCUGCGUCGCUCACGCUGGGAGCUGUAGACCGGAGCUGUUCCUAUUCGGCCAUCUUGGCUCCUCCCUCAGUUCUGGAGACUGGGACAUCCAAGGUCAAUGUGCUGGCAGAUUCAAUGUCUGGAUUGGCAAACACAAAUCAUGUUCCAAGUUCUGCCUUCCACCUGAGUGAAAUACAUCACCGCUUUCCCUGCUCCCGCCGCCAUUAAAAUUGUGUUUGGCAUCUGACCACCAAGAUACAGAUAUUUCCUAGACUGUUUUGCAGCUAGGUACUUAGAUAGUAAUGAAGAUAGGGGCCACCAUUCCCUGUGAAAAUCAAGUGGGAAAGUCCUGAGUCCUUUAAUGACUUUACAGAGGACAGAAUAAACUCCUAUCAUAUUCAUGCAA